rnacentral:lncRNA from 1 species
GAAUUUCGCCCACGCCCCCCGCCAAGGCUAUAGCCCACCCGUUUUUUGGCCAUUUUUCCGCUGGGGGGUGUUGGCGCCCCGACCUUCGGGCACUCAUUUUUGGGCGCGGCUGAGCCCGUGGCCUAUUUUUGGCACACGGAGGCCGCCCGCAAAGUCUGGGGCCAUUCCGAGUCCGGCGGACGAACUUCGCCCUUGCCCCCCGCCAAGGCUAUAGCCCACCCGUUUUUUGGCCAUUUUUCCGCUGGCGAGUGUUGGCGCCCCGACCUUCGGGCGCGGCUGUGCCCGUGGCCUAUUUUUGGCACACGGAGGCCGCCCGCAAAGUCUGGGGCCAUUCCGAGUCCGGCGGACGAACUUCGCCCACGCCCCCCACCAAGGCUAUAGCCCACCCGUUUUUUGGCCAUUUUUCCGCUGGGGGGUGUUGGAACCCCAACCUUCGGGAGCUCAUUUUUGGGCACGGCUGUGCCCGUGGCCUAUUUUUGGCACACGGAGGCAGCCCGCAAAGUAUGGGGCCAUUCCGAGUCCGGCGGACGAACUUCGCCCACGCCCCCCGCCAAGGCUAUAGCCCACCCGUUUUUUGGCCAUUUUUCCGCUGGCGAGUGUUGGCGCCCCGACCUUCGGGGGCUGAUUUUUGACCGCGGCUGUGCCCGUGGCCUAUUUUUGGCACACGGAGGGCGCCCGCAAAGUCUGGUGCCAUUCUGAGUCCGGCGGACGAACUUCGCCCACGCCCCCCACCAAGGCUAUAUCCCACCCGAUUUUUGGCCAUUUUUCCGCUGGCGAGUGUUGGCGCCCCGACCUUCGGGCACUCAUUUUAGUGCGCGGCUGUGCCCGUGGCCUAUUUUUGGCACACGGAGGCCGCCCGCAAAGUUUGGGGCCAUUCCGAGUCCGGCGGACGAACUUCGCCCACGCCCCCCACCAAGGCUAUAGCCCACCCGUUUUUUGGCCAUUUUUCCGCUGGGGGGUGUUGGAACCCCAACCUUCGGGAGCUCAUUUUUGGGCGCGGCUGUGCCCGUGGCCUAUUUUUGGCACACGGAGGCCGCCCACAAAGUCUGGGGCCAUUCCGAGUCCGGCGGACGAACUUCGCCCCCGCCCCCCACCAAGGCUAUAGCCCACCCGUUUUUUGGCCAUUUUUCCGCUGGGGAGUGUUGGCACCCCGACCUUCGGGCGCUCAUUUUUGGGCGCGGCUGUGCCCGUGGCCUAUUGUUGGCACACGGAGGCCGCCCGCAGAGUCUGGGGCCAUUCCGAGUCCGGCGGACGAACUUCGCCCACNNNNNNNNNNNNNNNNNNNNNNNNNNNNNNNNNNNNNNNNNNNNNNNNNNNNNNNNNNNNNNNNNNNNNNNNNNNNNNNNNNNNNNNNNNNNNNNNNNNNGACCUUCGGGCGCUCAUUUUUGGGCGCGGCUGAGCCCUUGGCCUAUUUUUGGCACACGGAGGCCGCCCGCAAGGUCUGGGGCCAUUCCGAGUCCGGUGGACGAACUUCGCCCCCGCCCCCCACCAAGGCUAUAGCCCACCCGUUUUUUGGCCAUUUUUCCGCUGGCGAGUGUUGGCGCCCCGACCUUCGGGCGCUCAUUUUAGGGUGCGGCUGUGCCCGUGGCCUAUUUUUGGUACACGGAGGCCGCCCGCAACGUUUGGGGCCAUUCCGAGUCCGGCGGACGAACUUCGCCCACGCCCCCCACCAAGGCUAUAGCCUACCCGUUUUUUGGCCAUUUUUCCGCUGGGGGGUGUUGGAAUCCCAACCUUCGGGAGCUCAUUUUUGGGCGCGGCUGUGCCCGUGGCCUAUUUUUGGCACACGGAGGCCGCCCGUAGAGUCUGGGGCCAUUCCGAGUCCGGCGGACGAACUUCGCCCACGCCCCCCGCCAAGGCUUUAGCCCACCCGUUUUUCCGCAAUUUUUCCACUGGGGGGUGUUGUUACCCCGACCUUCGGGCGCUCAUUUUUAGGCACGGCUGUGCCCGUGGCCUAUUUUUGGCACACGGAGGCAGCCCGCAAAGUAUGGGGCCAUUCCGAGUCCGGCGGACGAACUUCGCCCACGCCCCCCGCCAAGGCUAUAGCCCACCCGUUUUUUGGCCAUUUUUCCGUUGGGGGGUGUUGGCGCCCCGACCAUCGGGCGCUCAUUUUUGGGCGCGGCUGAGCCCGUGGCCUAUUUUUGGCACACGGAGGCCGCCCGCAAAGUCUGGGGCCAUUCCGAGUCCGGCGGACGAACUUCGCCCACGCCCCCCGCCAAGGCUAUAGCCCACUCGUUUUUCCGCAAUUUUUCCGCUGGGGGGUGUUGGCGCCCCGUCCUUCGGGCGCUCAUUUUUGGGCGCGGCUGUGCCCGUGGCCUUUUUUUGGCACACGGAGGCCGCCCGCAAAGUCUGGGGCCAUUCCGAGUCCGGCGGACGAACUUCGCCCACGCCCCCCACCCAGGCUAUAGCCCACCCGUUUUUUGGCCAUUUUUCCGCUGGCGAGUGUUGGCGCCCCGACCUUCGGGCGCUCAUUUUAGGGCGCGGCUGUGCCCGUGGCCUAUUUUUGUCACACGGAGGCCGCCCGCAGAGUCUGGGGCCAUUCCGAUUCCGGCUGACGAACUUCGCCCACGCCCCCCGCCAAGGCUAUAGCCCACCCGUUUUUCCGCAAUUUUUCCGCUGGGGGGUGUUGGCGCCCCGACCUUCGGGCGCUCAUUUAUGGGCGCGGCUGUGCCCGUGGCCUAUUUUUCGCACACGGAGGCCGCCCGCAAAGUCUGGGGCCAUUCCGAGUCCGGCGGACGAACUUCGCCCCCGCCCCCCACCAUGGCUAUAGCACACCCGUUUUUUGGCAAUUUUUCCGCUGGGGGGUGUUGGCACCCCGACCAUCGGGCGCUCAUUUUUGGGCGCGGCUGUGCCCGUGGCCUAUUUUUGGCACACGGAGGCCGCCCGCAGAGUCUGGGGCCAUUCCGACUCCGGCGGACGAACUUCGCCCACGACCCCGCCAAGGCUAUAGCCCACCCGUUUUUUGGCCAUUUUUCCGCUGGCGAGUGUUGGCGCCCCGA